GGUUUGGGCCUAGAUCUGCGAGGAGAGAGAGAGUAAACUGAACAUCAGAAUAGAAGGAAGAUUCACUUUUCCCAGUCAGAAGCCAGUCAUCCAAGAUGGUGAAUGUAACAGGUGCCUCCCAAGCAGCUUUGGAAGCAGCAACCAGGAAGAACUGCCAGGAACAGUGAGAGAAAAUGGAGCAAGAACCUUUGUGUGGCAGUGAGAGCAGCAGACGAGAACGAACUGAAGAGGAAGGUGCUUUCCUGCCUAUUUUACUGGGUGCUCCCUUGCACAUCAGAAUGCCGGAGAGCACAGAUUGGAGCUAGAGAUUCCUCCGCAGGGCUACUAUGAAGGCACAGAAGAUCCAGUAGAGAGGGAACAUCAGAUAUCACAUCAGAGAUCAGAACUUCCCAUUUCACUAAAAAUAUGUUGCUCCUGUGAAUAUUCAAGUGUUUCUAAGGAUAAGCCCAAUUUUGCCAAUAUUUGUGGGGCUGGUUUCUUAAAAUUCUGUUCAUUUCUGCCAAAGGAGUCCUAUAUUGUGGUCAUCUAAUCUGGAAAUUCCCUCCAAAGUCAUACAGAGUUUCAUAUGAUCUAUUCUUCUGUUCAGAAU